rnacentral:rRNA from 1 species
UCUACGGGAGGCAGCAGUGGGGAAUAUUGCACAAUGGGGGAAACCCUGAUGCAGCGACGCCGCGUGAGUGAAGAAGUAUUUCGGUAUGUAAAGCUCUAUCAGCAGGAACGAGACAAGACGGUACCUGACUAAGAAGCCCCGGCUAACUACGUGCCAGCAGCCGCGGUAAUACGUAGGGGGCAAGCGUUAUCCGGAAUCACUGGGUGUAAAGGGAGCGUAGACGGCUGAGCAAGCCUGAAGUGAAAGGUGGGGGCCCAACCCCCGGACUGCUUUGGGAACUGUACGGCUGGAGUGCAGGAGAGGUAAGUGGAAUUCCUAGUGUAGCGGUGAAAUGCGUAGAUAUUAGGAGGAACACCAGUGGCGAAGGCGGCUUACUGGACUGUAACUGACGUUGAGGCUCGAAAGCGUGGGGAGCAAACAGGAUUAGAUACCCGUGUAGUC